UGGGGAAUCUUGGACAAUGGGCGAAAGCCUGAUCCAGCGACGCCGCGUGGAGGAAGAAGUCCUUCGGGAUGUAAACUUCUGAACUAGCCGAAUAAAAGGCCUGUGGACACACAGGAGAAGAAAGUAGGCUAGGAAAAGUCCCGGCUAACUACGUGCCAGCAGCCGCGGUAAGACGUAGGGGGCAAGCGUUACCCGGAAUUACUGGGCGUAAAGGGGGCGUAGGCGGUAAAAGAAGUCAUCUGUGAAAACCUAUUGCUCAACGAUAGGCUAGCGGAUGAAACUGAAUUACUUGAGGGCACCAGAGGUAGACGGAAUUACCCGAGUAGGGGUGAAAUCCGCAGAUACGGGUAGGAACGCCGGUGGAGAAGUCGGUCUACUGGGGUGCACCAGACGCUGAGGCCCGAAAGCUAGGGGAGCAAACC
rnacentral:rRNA from 1 species